rnacentral:rRNA from 1 species
GGAAUAUUGGUCAAUGGGCGCAAGCCUGAACCAGCCAUCCCGCGUGAAGGAAGAAGGCGCUAUGCGUUGUAAACUUCUUUUCCAGGGGAAUAAAAUUUUGUACGUGUACGGAAUUGAAGGUACCCUGGGAAUAAGCAUCGGCUAACUCCGUGCCAGCAGCCGCGGUAAUACGGAGGAUGCAAGCGUUAUCCGGAUUUAUUGGGUUUAAAGGGUGCGUAGGCGGAAUAGUAAGUCAGUGGUGAAACCCUGCAGCUUAACUGUAGACUUGCCAUUGAUACUGUUAUUCUUGAGUGUGGUCAAGGUAGGCGGAAUGUGUAAUGUAGCGGUGAAAUGCUUAGAUAUUACACAGAACACCGAUUGCGAAGGCAGCUUGCUGGACCAAUACUGACGCUGAUGCACGAAAGCGUGGGGAUCGAACAGGAUUAGA